GAGUCGAUCUUCACCACAAACUAAUGAUCAUGGAUGUCUUUCGAAGGUCCCUUAAAACCACACAAAUGUCCGACCUCUACGAGUAUCCAUACGAGGCUCUGAUCUGAUAAGAAGCUUUUUAAUCUCACUGGGAUGCUAGCUCCCUUUCAGAGAUCCCAUCUUGAAGGUUAAAAAUCUUUUCUCUCAAGACAAUCUUAGAGAAGAAGAAGAAGUAGGAGGAUGUUGAUCUCUAUGCCAGAGAUCAUGAGAAGAACCCUUGCUUCUCUUUUCUUCCUUAAACCCAUGCACCAAAUCUCUAUACUAGAGAUGUAAAAAUUUUGUCUAACUUUUGGACAAAGAGAAGAAGAGAAAUCCAUGUCCAAACAUAGACAAAAGAGAGAGAGAGGAGAGUCCUAACAACCAACUCUUGGUUGUUGUAAGAAAGAAGGGAUAAAAACCAUACCUCACGCCCCUCCUUUCAUGCCGUGCGCUCCCCUCCUUUUCUUCUCUUUUGCAUCUCCUCUAGUUUUUGGCAUCCAUAAAUUGAUCACAUCAAAUAUCGAAUGCCCCAUAAGGUCCCUUGUUUAAAUAGGCAAAGAGAUAAGGUGUUGGGUUAGGAGAUAAGAGUCCUAAAUCCUUAGGACUCUAGGAUUUUUUUUGCCACCCACCAUCAAGUUUUUGCACCCCAUAUACCUCAUGGAAACAAAAGAUUAAGAUUCCUUCUUACAUGCUAAAAAGAAGAGAAAAUAUGGCAUCAAAACUGGUUGGGCGUGGGUUUUGAUUUGUGGCGCAUGGAGGAGAAUUUUAACUCACUUAGGAUUCUUCUUUUAGGUGACUGAUUUAAAUCAAUUUAAAUGCUAACCAAUUUUAAUCAAAUUAAAAAUUGAUUAAAUCCAAAUAGAUAAAAAAUCAAGUCUGAUUUAGAGUUCAAACUAUUUAGAUUAGAUAUCACCUAAUUAGAGAAGGAGUCCUAGUCCUUUUGGACUCUCUCUUGGUACUUGAGUCAAACUUAAUUUAAUCCUAAUUCAAUUAGGAUUUGGUACACCUAUAAAAAUAAAAAUUUUUAGUCCAAAUAAAAACUCAAACAUUCUUGUUUAAAUCCUAGUCUAAUUAGGAAUUGAGUCAAACUUAAAUUCUAAUUCAAUUAGGAAUCAAUCUCCCACGCAAUUUGAUUAUCUCAUAACCCAAUUAGGUUUGAUCAAAUCAAAUUCAUAUUAAGUCAAAUUUAAUUUAAUUUAAUUAGACUUGAUGUAAACUCCAUUAUUCAAUCAAAUUGAGCCAAUUAAUAAUUCAAUUAUUAAUUAAUCCUCUUAUAACUCACUAACUCUUUAGUGAGUUACUUAAUACAACUUUUGUAUUGGAUCAAUCAUCAAUCAAAUUGAUAAUCAAAUCCUGUUACGAUUCAUAAUCNNNNNNNNNNNNNNNNNNNNNNNNNNNNNNNNNGUAAUUCAAUUAUCUGAUCAGUCAAAAAUUUCUUUGUGUGUGACCGCAUAAGCUCUAUUCUAUCUGGUAGUGAGAUAUAUUAUGAUCUCUAUCACAAUAUCAUUGAAACUCUUUUCAAUGGGUUGAAGCCGUUCUAACUCUACCCAUCAAGAAUCAUCGAUCAUCAAGAUGAUGCUCAUGGAUCUCAUAAUCUAUCAGUGGCACCUAGCAGUAUGUAGUGACAAUCCAACAGAAUAAAAAUGAUGAACCUCUAGGUACAGUUAACGUAUGAUACAGUUCCUCUAUCAUGAGUCCCGAUCAAAUGGCAGGUCAUGGAUGAAUCGUUAAACCUCAUCAUCGAUCAUAUGAUAGAUUCAAUCAGCUUGAAUCCAUAUGUGAUUUCUAUGAAAAUAUUUUUUUAAUAAUCACAUUGCUAUGGCCAUAGACUUAAAGACUUAGCUUCAUAAAUUUCGUAGGACUACUCCCUUCUACUAGGAUCAAUAGAUCCCAUCUAGGUAUACAUCCUACUCCUACAAUGGAUUAACUAUCCCCAACAUCCACUAUAAGGGCUCAUUGAGACCUAUGUU
rnacentral:lncRNA from 1 species